UCGAGAAUCAUUCGCAAUGGGCGAAAGCCUGACGAUGCGACGCCGUGUGAGCGAUGAAGGCCUUUGGGUUGUAAAGCUCUUUCGCUUGGGAACAAGAGAGGCCUAUUAAUACUAGGCCCAUUUGAGGGUACCAGGUAAAGAAGCACCGGCUAACUCCGUGCCAGCAGCUGCGGUAAUACGGAGGGUGCAAGCAUUAAUCGGAUUUAUUGGACGUAAAGGGCGCGUAGGCGGGAAUGUAAGUCGAAUGUU
rnacentral:rRNA from 1 species